ensembl:lncRNA
GGUGUCUGACGAUGCCCCUGUGCUGACACUCUGGGGGGGCCACUCCCACCUCCUGAAGGAUGGUGGAGGGGAGUAGGAGGAUGGUGCCCGGGGGGGCUGUGGGCUGCUGGACCGGUCACGCUUUCCCCAGGCAGCAGUGGUCGGUCUCUUGGACAGUUCCCGCGAGCCAACACCCUGGGGGGGCUGCUCCCACCUCCUGCUGGAUGGUGGAGAGGAGCGAGAGGACAGAGGUGGUGCUGGGCGGUACUGGGGGCUGCUGGGCCUGGUCUGUUUUCCCCUGGCAGUGGUUGUCCGUCUGUUGGACAUUUUCCCCAAGUCUGCACUCUGCGGGGAUUGCUUCCCUCCCCUGAUGGAUGGUGGAGGGGAGGGGGAAGGCAGAGGUGGUGCUGGGAGGGGCUGAGGGCUGCUGGGCCUCUCAGGCUUCCCUGAGGCAGCGGUUGUCUGGGUGCUGGACGAUGCCCCCGAGCCGACACCCUGAGGGGACCGCUCCCGUCCCCUGAAGGAUGGUGGAGGAGGAGGAGGCAGAGGUCGGGGGGGCGGCGUUGGUGGCCGGGGGCUGCUGGGCCUGUUGCUCAUCUGCCGGGGAGCCGUUAUUUCAGUGCCGGCCGAUGACCGCAAGCCUCCACCCCGGGCAGGUUCCUUCCGUCCCCUGAAGGAUGGUGGAGGGGGACGGGGGGGCUGUGCUGAUGCCCGGUGGGUCUGGGGGCUGCUGGGCCUGUUGCGCAUCCCCCGGGAUGUGGAGCCCAGGCCGGUGGGCCGCGGGGGCCGAGGUGGGGGCAGCUGAGCCUGGCUGCUGUCCAGCCUGGCAGGGGCUGCUCUGGUGGUGUCCUGCAGCAGGUGGGCAGGUCGUCCCCACACAGGUGGUUGCCACCAUGUCUGUCUUUUGGGCCCCUCGAGGUGGGCAGGCUGUUCAUCUGACUCUGAACUGGAGCUGCUGCUAUCAUCCCGGGCUUCAUCAGCUGCAGCGAGGCGCCUGCGGAGAGAGGAAUGUGCUGAGGGCACAGGAGAGCCCCUGCUCUCCUUCCUCAAAGCACAUGGCAAAGAGCUGCCCUCAGCUCCCAGCCUGUGUUGGACCCAGCAGGAAGAAUGGGCUGAAGCCGAUUAAAACAUCUAACGGCGUACGUCUCAGACCAUGUUAGCCAACAACUAACUGGCCUCUCUACACUAACUGGAAGUGCCUCCGGGCUCACAGCAGCCCUACAGUAAAGAGUUAGGCAGGAUGGGGGUGGGGGUGAACA